GUUAAGCGACUAAGCGUACACGGUGGAUGCCCUGGCAGUCAGAGGCGAUGAAGGACGUGCUAAUCUGCGAUAAGCGUCGGUAAGGUGAUAUGAACCGUUAUAACCGGCGAUUUCCGAAUGGGGAAACCCAGUGUGAUUCGUCACACUAUCAUUAACUGAAUCCAUAGGUUAAUGAGGCGAACCGGGGGAACUGAAACAUCUAAGUACCCCGAGGAAAAGAAAUCAACCGAGAUUCCCCCAGUAGCGGCGAGCGAACGGGGAGCAGCCCAGAGCCUGAAUCAGUGUGUGUGUUAGUGGAAGCGUCUGGAAAGGCGCGCGAUACAGGGUGACAGCCCCGUACACAAAAAUGCACAUGCUGUGAGCUCGAUGAGUAGGGCGGGACACGUGGUAUCCUGUCUGAAUAUGGGGGGACCAUCCUCCAAGGCUAAAUACUCCUGACUGACCGAUAGUGAACCAGUACCGUGAGGGAAAGGCGAAAAGAACCCCGGCGAGGGGAGUGAAAAAGAACCUGAAACCGUGUACGUACAAGCAGUGGGAGCACGCUUAGGCGUGUGACUGCGUACCUUUUGUAUAAUGGGUCAGCGACUUAUAUUCUGUAGCAAGGUUAACCGAAUAGGGGAGCCGAAGGGAAACCGAGUCUUAACUGGGCGUUAAGUUGCAGGGUAUAGACCCGAAACCCGGUGAUCUAGCCAUGGGCAGGUUGAAGGUUGGGUAACACUAACUGGAGGACCGAACCGACUAAUGUUGAAAAAUUAGCGGAUGACUUGUGGCUGGGGGUGAAAGGCCAAUCAAACCGGGAGAUAGCUGGUUCUCCCCGAAAGCUAUUUAGGUAGCGCCUCGUGAAUUCAUCUCCGGGGGUAGAGCACUGUUUCGGCAAGGGGGUCAUCCCGACUUACCAACCCGAUGCAAACUGCGAAUACCGGAGAAUGUUAUCACGGGAGACACACGGCGGGUGCUAACGUCCGUCGUGAAGAGGGAAACAACCCAGACCGCCAGCUAAGGUCCCAAAGUCAUGGUUAAGUGGGAAACGAUGUGGGAAGGCCCAGACAGCCAGGAUGUUGGCUUAGAAGCAGCCAUCAUUUAAAGAAAGCGUAAUAGCUCACUGGUCGAGUCGGCCUGCGCGGAAGAUGUAACGGGGCUAAACCAUGCACCGAAGCUGCGGCAGCGACGCUGAUGCGUUGUUGGGUAGGGGAGCGUUCUGUAAGCCUGUGAAGGUGUGCUGUGAGGCAUGCUGGAGGUAUCAGAAGUGCGAAUGCUGACAUAAGUAACGAUAAAGCGGGUGAAAAGCCCGCUCGCCGGAAGACCAAGGGUUCCUGUCCAACGUUAAUCGGGGCAGGGUGAGUCGACCCCUAAGGCGAGGCCGAAAGGCGUAGUCGAUGGGAAACAGGUUAAUAUUCCUGUACUUGGUGUUACUGCGAAGGGGGGACGGAGAAGGCUAUGUUGGCCGGGCGACGGUUGUCCCGGUUUAAGCGUGUAGGCUGGUUUUCCAGGCAAAUCCGGAAAAUCAAGGCUGAGGCGUGAUGACGAGGCACUACGGUGCUGAAGCAACAAAUGCCCUGCUUCCAGGAAAAGCCUCUAAGCAUCAGGUAACAUCAAAUCGUACCCCAAACCGACACAGGUGGUCAGGUAGAGAAUACCAAGGCGCUUGAGAGAACUCGGGUGAAGGAACUAGGCAAAAUGGUGCCGUAACUUCGGGAGAAGGCACGCUGAUAUGUA
rnacentral:rRNA from 1 species